UACAGAGGUCUCAAGCGUUGUUCGGAUUCAUUGGGCGUAAAGGGUGUGUAGGUGGCCAACUAAGUCGGACGUGAAAUCCCUCGGCUUAACCGGGGAACUGCGUCUGAUACUGGAUGGCUUGAGUUCGGGAGAGGGAUGCGGAAUUCCAGGUGUAGCGGUGAAAUGCGUAGAUAUCUGGAGGAACACCGGUGGCGAAGGCGGCAUCCUGGACCGACACUGACGCUGAGGAGCGAAAGCCAGGGGAGCAAACGGG
rnacentral:rRNA from 1 species